GUGCCAGCCGCCGCGGUAAUACGGAGGGUGCAAGCGUUAAUCGGAAUUACUGGGCGUAAAGCGCACGCAGGCGGAUAAGUAAGUCAGAUGUGAAAGCCCCGGGCUUAACCUGGGAAUUGCAUUUGAAACUGCUUGUCUAGAGUAUGUCAGAGAAGGCGGAACUUCCAGUGUAGCAGUGAAAUGCGUAGAUAUUGGAAAGACACCGAUGGCGAAGGCAGCCUUCUGGGGCAAUACUGACGCUCAUGUGCGAAAGCGUGGGUAGCAAACGGGAUUAGAUACCCGGGUAGUCCACGCCCUAAACGAUGUCAACUAGGUGUUGGGGGACCUUGAGUUCUCGGUACCGGAGCUAACGCAUUAAGUUGACCGCCUGGGGAGUACGGCCGCAAGGUUGAAACUCAAAGAAAUUGACGGGGACCCGCACAAGCGGUGGAGCAUGUGGUUUAAUUCGAUGCAACGCGAAGAACCUUACCAGGCCUUGACAUCCAGAGAACAUUUAGAGAUAGAAUGGUGCCUUCGGGAACUCUGAGACAGG
rnacentral:rRNA from 1 species